AUACUACCUUGGAGAAUAAAGACCAUUACUACUAAUGUGGCAAGCCUGCUGGAGAGGAGGUCCAACAGGUUUAUAAAUACUCUAUCUUAUUUUUCUAUCAUCACAAUUUGGACAUAUCUUCCAUUUCAAAAUAACCAACUCUUAACUUUGUCUCCUAGCCAUUCUGCAUGGUGGAGUGUUGCUGCAGUUUGGCUUCCAAGUCUCAUCAACAGUCAGGAAAGAAGUAACUGUCUGCUCCAGCUCUUUUAUGGAAGGGAGCAGUUAAUAUUGAAUGGUGAAAAGCUGGAAAAGAUACUUGAAGAGCAGCUUCACAGACUUCAAGAUUUUCAUGAACUACAUAAUUUGUUACUGUUUUCAGAGGUUUUUCUACAGCUGCUUUAAGAGGAACUUAAGACGGAAUUCAGCGGCUACCUUUUGUGGAGAGACUAAAAAGAUUGGGAGUCUUCAGCAGUGAAAAGAGAAGGUGGGGAAGAGAAGUGAUGACAUCAUGAAAAUUCUGGAUAAGGUAGGAGCAAAAUUUCUGUUCA
rnacentral:lncRNA from 1 species